UUUCAUUUUACAUUUGUGAAUUCUAGUUGAACCGUUACAGAAAUUAGUGAAAUUUGUUUUAAAAAAUUGAAAUCCGGCUAAUUUAACGAAAUUAUAUUGGUAAUUAAUUAAAGAUAUUCAUAUGCAAAUAAAUUUUUUAAUAUUUUAAUUAUUCAAUCAAUUCAAUCAGCAGAAUCGGAUGAAUGAAAAUAACAUAAUCGGUGAUGAGUUGGGAAAUCGGAGAAAUUUUUUCGUAUUUUUUUCUUCUACGUUGCUUUAAGGCUAUGAAGAUCAAGAGAUAUUGCAAGCAUAUAACAUAAGAAGAGACGAUAUGUUAAUUUAAUUUUUAGUUAGCUUCGGGAGUGCUCGAAUUUUUUUUAAAACCGCGAACAAUUUUAGGGUGUUUUUCGAAAUUCUUAAAUUUUCUGCAAAAUUAUAAAUAUAACUUGUCAAAUAAUAAUCAUUUGAAUUUCAUCAUUUCAAUUUGGAAAUCGAGUGCUGCUUACGGAUGGAGAUCAAGCCUGGAAAAAUGGA